UAUCGGCCUCCAACCUACCCCAUGACACUAUUCAAACAAAAUAUUAUCAAACUACUCCAAUGGCUGGAACACAUUGGCAAAAACAUUAUUGUCAUGGGAGAUUUCAACGAUGACAUAUUGAAGUCAUCUUCAAUUUGCAAAUUUUUCCAAGAUAGAGGUUAUGAUCAGGUGAUCACCCAGCCUACCACAGAGCGAGGCACUUUGAUUGAUCAUGUUUAUGUGAGAGGGGGCAUUUUCCACACACAAGCUGAAGUAAUGCCUUCAUAUUUUAGCGACCAUGAAGGUAUUUACUGCAGCUUUAAAAUUUGUGAUUAAUCAUGUACACUGCUGUUUUUGAUAUUAUUAAUGCUUUUCAUAGAAAAGUAGAUUUGAAAGUGUUUUAGCAGGUUUCCAUACAGCUGGCAGAUGGAUCAAUUUACAACACCUGGACGAACCAUGAUGUCAACGCAAGUGACCACUUCAGGACAUUGUUUGGAUGGACAUUUAUGGUGAUUGUAUGCAAACUAACAUGUGAUACAUAACCUCUCCACUUCAUUUACACUUGCAAUUAUUUUGAACAUCACAACUUGACUACAAAAAAUGAAACAUUAGCAAUGCGCCUAGUUACUAUUUCUCCAAUAUGAUGACUUCUUCAUUUGUCAGCAUGUAACUGAUAUAAUCUCUCCUCUCCUCACCGUUUCAACAAAUACACCAUACAUCUUAUGAUCGCUCCACCUGAAGACUGACAAGCCCAUCAUUACUCCACCUUUGGUGAGAUGAGACCCUGAUGGAUUACUGAAACAAUACACAAUUGGUAAGUGUGAAUUUCAAUUUAUAGUUAAAUAUUUUCAUUCACACACUAUACUACUUGUGUAAACACGCAUUGUGUCUCUUCCUCAGAAGAGAUGCAUACAACAGUGGUAUAUGAUUGUAAUUACCAUGAAUUCUAACUGUGAUUAUGUAACUGAUGUGUCAUGUCUUAUUCAAAACAUGUACCCACAUAUUUAUCCCAUGACACCACCAUCACAAGAGAUAUCAGCCACUAUCAACUCCAGCCAAAAAUAAUGCAUGCUAAGCAAGUGUGUUAUAACUAUAUGUUGAUUGAUUCUCAUUAUAUAAACAUGUAACUAAUAUAUUGUCUCUUCUUUACAGCGUGUUACCAACCACUCAACCCACCACUACUCCAGGGAUCAGCCUAUGACAACUCCACCCAAAAAGAAAUGCAGCACACACUUCACAUGUACCAGAAAUUCUUUUUUUAAUUGCUUCUCAGCUUUUUUGUAAUAACAAGUCACAUAAUUUAAUUUCAUAAUACAUUUUGAUAUUUAAUUUGUAUUUCCUUUGUAC